rnacentral:sRNA from 1 species
GUGGGAGGGGCUUGGCCCGAGCUGGGAGGCUGGGUCUGGACUGUCCUGGGCACCCACUGAGCGCAUCUCUCACCCCUGAGAGAGGAUCAGGAGAAGAGGCCUUGGGACCAUGAGCCCGUGAAGCCAAAGCCCUUGACCUACUGGAAGGAUGUCCUUCUGCUGGAGGGUGUGACCUUGACCCAGGAUUCCAGGCAGCUGAAUGGGUCGGAGCGGGCGGUGUUGGAUGGGCUGCUCACCCCAGCCGAGUGUGGGGUGCUGCUGCAGCUGGCUAAGGAUGCAGCUGGGGCUGGAGCCAGGUCUGGCUAUCGUGGUCGCCGCUCCCCUCACACCCCCCAUGAACGCUUCGAGGGGCUCACAGUGCUUAAGGCUGCGCAGCUGGCCCGGGCUGGGACAGUGGGCAGUCAGGGUGCUAAGCUGCUUCUGGAGGUGAGCGAGCGGGUGCGGACCUUGACCCAGGCCUACUUCUCCCCGGAACGGCCCCUGCAUCUG